UACGAAGGGGGCUAGCGUUGCUCGGAAUCACUGGGCGUAAAGCGCACGUAGGCGGAUUGUUAAGUCAGGGGUGAAAUCCUGGAGCUCAACUCCAGAACUGCCUUUGAUACUGGCGAUCUCGAGUCCGGGAGAGGUGAGUGGGAACUGCGAGUGUAGAGGUGAAAUUCGUAGAUAUUCGCAAGAACACCAGUGGCGAAGGCGGCUCACUGGCCCGGUACUGACGCUGAGGUGCGAAAGCGUGGGGAGCAAACAGG
rnacentral:rRNA from 1 species